UCGUGAAGGCAAGGAAAGGAAGAAAGUGUCGUGAUGGAAAAGGAUGCGGUAACGACAGCCGUUCCGAGUUCUUGGUAGAGCUCGCAAUCGACUUAGCCACCACCACGCCUCGUUCUCCUCUCGCGUUUUUCGUGAAGCAGAAGCAACCUUGUGGUAAACGAGACCUCAUCCUCUUGGCACACCGGUCAUCCCGAACGGCGAUCUCCCCACGACCGGUAGGAACGGAAGCUAAUUUGUAAAUCAUCUAAAAAAAUCGCGCGUCCUGGCGCCGCCCCGAAUUACGCGUGAUUUCAACGUUAGUUCCUGUCAAGUAGACGAUACCCCGGUUACGACUCCGUUAAGAAUUUGAUAGGAUUACCCGGAUUGCGCGAGCACCUGCGCGAAUACAUGUCAAUAACAGAAAUUUGAAGGCAUCAAGAUAGAAGCGCGUACUAUUACUACCGCACGAAAACACUGGCUAACCAAAAUAACACAUCAAGCUAGCGAGUGACGCUAUUAAAACUACUACGAGUGCAUAACUCAGUCGAAAAUUAAUCCCCUUGUCCGGUGGAGAGGUUUCGAGAUAAAGAGUGCACACACUGGAGAGGAUCAGUGAUAGGAUGUCGUGGAGCGAGGAAAGCGAAGUCGGCGCUUUUGACCGGGACACCCCAUGGUGCGCGACAUGCCUGGUCUGACCGCCAUUUAGUGUGAACCUGUCUCCGACUGGACCCACUCGAGGCUACAGAGAGACUGUUUCUUCAUUUUCGAUAAAUACAUACUUCAAACGGUACCGACAGAAUGACCCGUGAUAUUUGGAAGCAGUUACGAAACGUGAUCCAUAACGCUCGAUAGCGAUUGAUAACGCAACUGCGAAUAAAAAGGUCUGGCGAAAGUUGGGACUUUAACAAUCGAAGACCUCCCGUCGUGUCCCAGGCGAUUUACGAGGAAUACCGAGCACAUCGCGUGUUUCCACCGCGCUUAAAACGCUCGCCGAGCGGACAUCAGAGCUCGUUCCACCUACGCGAAUUCGUCUUACGUUGGUGAUCAGCCACGAAGAGAGGAGAGGAGAGGAAAAGACAGAAGUUAAAGCGACUGCCGCGAGAGUGAUGCGCGCGAGCAGGUAUUAGGAUGUGAUGGUGGCGGUGGCCGUAGUAAUAGAUUCAGAGUUAUGUUACGACCGGCCAUAAAAGAAAUGAAAAAAUUGUCCAGCCGCCGCUAAAAAAAUC